AAAUAUAUAUAUUAAAUAGUUGUAAGGGUUUAAUUAACUAACAGCUCCAUGUGGAGGUGCUCCUAUGUAAAGGAUGCUUAUUAACAAAAUAAUUUGUUAUAUGUUCCAAGGAUUUGUAUAGUAGGAAUGGGGGAACUAGCAGGUACCUAUUUUUCACUUUUGACAUGGAGAAAUACUUUGAACAUCAGAUCAGGACAAUAUCCGUGAAUCUCUCGUCCGGAGUCGGGUUUUUUAAAACGCUUGAAAGAUACAGAUUAUGACGCGUCUUAAAGAGAAGAACGCCGUCAGCCGAUUGUCAACAACAGUACUUGUUUCAGUUAAUUUAACAAGACAAACAAUACCAAGGAGCUAUGAGUCAAUGAAUACUCGAGGAUGUACUACAGCAGUAUUACAAGGUAUGGGCAGAGGAGUUGACUAUUGAUAAUGACUGAUACUGGAAUUAAUGAAGUAACCUACAUGUAGUGUCCAAUCUCUAUGUGGAGUUUGCCUAUCAGACAGUCCAUUUUUACAUGUACCAAAAAAUAAUUAGCUCCCCAGAUGUAAGUGGUAGUGAAGUUAUACAUGUUAUAUGUUUCGAUGAAAUGAAUGCCUUGAUUAGAUAUACAUGUAGUGGAGACCCUAUAGAUACAGUACAUGUAACUGGAACUGUAGGAAGUAUUCAAAGAGUCUGAUUGCUAAGUAUGCAUUACAGGAUUUUAUCAUUGGAGCAACAUCUUAAGAGGU